GAGAUUCGCACAGAUUUGUCUGCUGGUGCUAGCUUUGUACUGUGAUCCUCAGAUCUCAGCCUCCUGAGUAGUUAGGAUUACAGUUUGGACCACCAGCACC